GCGAAUACCGGAGAAUGUUAUCACGGGAGACACACGGCGGGUGCUAACGUCCGUCGUGAAGAGGGAAACAACCCAGACCGCCAGCUAAGGUCCCAAAGUCAUGGUUAAGUGGGAAACGAUGUGGGAAGGCCCAGACAGCCAGGAUGUUGGCUUAGAAGCAGCCAUCAUUUAAAGAAAGCGUAAUAGCUCACUGGUCGAGUCGGCCUGCGCGGAAGAUGUAACGGGGCUAAACCAUGCACCGAAGCUGCGGCAGCGAACGUAUCACUUAAAGCGAUUCAGCGGGUUACGAUUGACGGAGCGAAGCGACGUCAAAGCGUAUACAAAGUCGAGUCGGUUUAAGGAUACGUUCGUUGGGUAGGGGAGCGUUCUGUAAGCCUGCGAAGGUGGCCUGUGAGGGUUGCUGGAGGUAUCAGAAGUGCGAAUGCUGACAUAAGUAACGAUAAAGCGGGUGAAAAGCCCGCUCGCCGGAAGACCAAGGGUUCCUGUCCAACGUUAAUCGGGGCAGGGUGAGUCGACCCCUAAGGCGAGGCCGAAAGGCGUAGUCGAUGGGAAACGGGUUAAUAUUCCCGUACUUGGUGUUACUGCGAAGGGGGGACGGAGAAGGCUAUGUUGGCCGGGCGACGGUUGUCCCGGUUUAAGCGUGUAGGUGUGUGUUCCAGGUAAAUCCGGUUCACUUUAACACUGAGGCGUGACGACGAGGCACUACGGUGCUGAAGCAACAAAUGCCCUGCUUCCAGGAAAAGCCUCUAAGCAUCAGGUAACAUCAAAUCGUACCCCAAACCGACACAGGUGGUCAGGUAGAGAAUACCAAGGCGCUUGAGAGAACUCGGGUGAAGGAACUAGGCAAAAUGGUGCCGUAACUUCGGGAGAAGGCACGCUGACACGUAGGUGAAGUGAUUUACUCAUGGAGCUGAAGUCAGUCGAAGAUACCAGCUGGCUGCAACUGUUUAUUAAAAACACAGCACUGUGC
rnacentral:rRNA from 1 species